rnacentral:sRNA from 1 species
GCAGCUGCUGCUGUUGCUGCGGUUGUUGCAUUUGUUGUUGCUGCGGUUGUUGCAGUUGCUGUUGCUGCUGCUGCUGCUGCUGCAUCUGC